rnacentral:rRNA from 1 species
UACGGAAGGCAGCAGUGGGGAAUAUUGCACAAUGGGCGAAAGCCUGAUGCAGCUAUGCCGCGUGUAUGAAGAAGGCCUUAGGGUUGUAAAGUACUUUCAUCGGGGAGGAAAAACAAAACUAAUAAUUUUAUUUCUUGACGUUACCCGAAAAAGAAGCACCGGCUAACUCCGUGCCAGCAGCCGCGGUAAUACGGAGGGUGCUAGCGUUAAUCAGAAUUACUGGGCGUAAAGAGCACGUAGGUGGUUUUUUUAAGUCAGAUGUGAAUCCCUGGGCUUAACCUAGGAACUGCAUUUUGAAACUGAAAUACUAGAGUAUCGUAGAGGGAGGUAGAAUUCUAGGUGUAGCGGUGAAAUGCGUAGAUAUCUGGAGGAAUACCUGUGGCGAAAGCGGCCUCCUAAACGAAUACUGACACUGAGGGUGCGAAAGCGUGGGGAGCGAAACAGGGAUAGAUACC